rnacentral:lncRNA from 1 species
UUAGUAUGUUCCUUCUGUAAAUAUUUAUUAUCGAUAUUGUACGAUAUAACAAAAUCAAUGCUAGUAGAAAGUUCUAAAAAUGCAGUUUUUAUCAAGACUAUACCUGGAGACGCAGAUGAGAGAAGAAAAUAAAGACAAGGACAUAUAGCUAUGGCAAAGAUUGCAUUCAUGAAUACGAGACAUCUACUUAACAAUACGAAGCGAUAAAGAAGACAAACUUAUUGGGACAUGUGAUGAGACAAGAGAAGUUGACGAAUUACGGACAUUACGGGUAAGAUUGAGGGUAAGAAGUGAAAAUCUGGACCACAUUUUGAGAUGGUUUGGCUCAUAAGGACAGAGGAAGUGCUGCAUGUUACAAGAAACAAGGGAGUGGAAAAGAUGGAGAUCCAAGACUAUCGACGCCCUGAUCGUGGAUGACGUAGAUAAUGAUGGUGGUAACAGGGACUAUGGCGUUUAGUCGCUUCCAUUGGUUUGUGAGAUUCCAGAAAGACACUAGCGUGUAAACGUAUUAAACUGGGCGUAUAGUUCUAGUUUUGCGAGGGGGUAUUAAAUAAGUUAACGUCACUGUAUAAGGGAAGGAAAAUUUGCUUAUUCUAGUAUGUUUGUAUUUCAACUUUCAUGCAGUAAUUUAUUUAGAUAUAUUUUGAAUUUUUCAAGAAAAAGUUAAUGCAGUAAAGGUAUUUUCAAAUAUCACUCGAUGAUUAUGAAUGGAUUAGUACACAAAAUAA